rnacentral:rRNA from 1 species
CAUUCAGUUGCCACGGUAAGGCCGGGCGACUCUGGAUGGACUGCCGGCGACAAGCCGGAGGAAGGUGGGGAUGACGUCAAGUCAUCAUGGCCCUUAUGUCCAGGGCGACACACGUGCUACAAUGGCCGGCACAGCGGGAAGCGAGGGGGCGACCUUGAGCGGAUCCCUCAAAGCCGGUCUCAGUUCGGAUUGCAGUCUGCAACUCGACUGCAUGAAGUUGGAAUCGCUAGUAAUCGUGGAUCAGCCAAGCCGCGGUGAAUACGUUCCCGGGCCUU